AUUGAAGCCUAGCGAUGUGUAAGUUAGUGGCGGACGGGUGAGUAACGCGUGGGUAACCUGCCUUGUACUGGGGGACAACAGUUGGAAACGACUGCUAAUACCGCAUAAGCCCACGGAUUCGCAUGGAUCUGCGGGAAAAGGAUUUAUUCGCUCUAGGAUGGACUCGCGUCCAAUUAGCUAGUUGGUGAGGUAACGGCCCACCAUGGCGACGAUUGGUAGCCGGACUGAGAGGUUGAUCGGCCACAUUGGGACUGAGACACGGCCCAGACUCC
rnacentral:rRNA from 1 species